GUGACUUGAGUUCGAAAGGAGAUACUUCCUGGACAACUGCUAUAAAAACAACAACAAAUACUUUUAUUAAUUCGGGGAGCCUGGUCACCAACUGGAUGCUCAGAUGGAACCCUGAGCAGCCCAUGUACAUGGAAGAUCUUUAUUGCAGAGAUCUUCAAACCAGAUGGCUCGCAGAGAUUGAGGAACUUGCCCAAGGCUACGCAGCUUGAAACUGAGGCUAAAGAGUUUAGUAUUCUGCCAAGGCCAGCUAAUAGUUACAGAGCAUGGUUCCAAAUUCAGAGCUGUCGGAAGCUUAAGCCCAUGUGAUGAACCACGAAUGUGAUUUUACCUCAUUUAAGCCUUGCAGCAAACUCUGCCAACUAGUGUGCAUUUACUCCUGCCUCUCCAUGCCUGAAGGAAGGAAUGAAGAGGUCUCUGCUGUCCAUCUGAGCCAGUGACUGGGCUGUCUCUACCAGGCCAGAAUUUGGGGCAGGCAAGAUUUUCAGCAUCCCUAAAAUCACACUAAGAAGAUAAACAUGGAAACAGCUUGGAGCUGCCCUACCCAUAGUGAGGUGGUACUGACUGGAAGACAGCUUAAACGAUUUGGAGAAAAGUGGAAUACAUUAAUCUCAGAAAACUCUACCACCUGUAGAAAGAGAGCUAAAAUGGAGACAACCACAGGCAGUCUAAGAUACGCUGAACUACUACAGAAAAUAAUGCAGCAUGAAGGAAUGCUGGAAGGUAUGGGGUCAGAGCAAGCUGAUGGAGGGUCCUUCAUUUCCAAGCCACGAGUACAGCAGGAUGUAAGGCUUAGUUCAUAAGAACAUCUCCUGAAAGACAAUCUCUAUAAAAACUGUUUCAAUAGAAAGAAUGCAAGAUGUAACUGUUUAAUAAUAGGACUGAUAUUUUAAAAAACAAAUGAACGUAAUAGAAGACUAGAUGGAUGUGCUUCUCAAAGUCCUCUCUGUGGGAGGCUUCAUCCUCACUCUAGAUGUGUUGCCUGUAGCAGCUGUUAUUGAUUACCCGCCCAUAGCCUAUCCAUACUUACUCAUCAUUCCUUUACCUACCAGUGGCAUCCUAUUGGAAGCACCUGCGACUUUCUUAGGGCUUUCUCUUGGCCAAGCAUUGGAAGGCCAGCAGUAUUGAAAAGUUAAUAGUCUUGGAAGCACUGGCCCUCAACUAAUGACAAA
rnacentral:lncRNA from 1 species